rnacentral:tRNA from 2 species
GGAGGGGUCGCAUAGUGGUCGAGUGCGCCCGCCUCGAAAGCGGGUAGGCCAAAAGCCUCGCGGGUUCGAAUCCCGCCCCCUCCG